CCGGGGAAUUGUGAGAAAUGUGAAUGUCGGGGGUAAAAUCCGACAUUUUUGGGUCCGAAUCGGCCGGGUGGUAAAAACACGAUUAUUGUGAGGAAAAAACUCGCGAAUUCUGAGGAAUUUGAGGCUGCCCCUCCCUCUGUCGGUGCCGCCCCUCCCCCUGUGUCGCGAUAAUGUCGCGAUUUUUCACCACCGGUUCCGACUCCGAGUCCGAGUCGUCGGCGUCGGGAGACGAAACCGCGCCCAAGGCGGCGGGGGGACCCUACAGCAAGCCGCUGCUGCUCAGUGAGGAUGAGGAGGACACGAAGCGCGUGGUGAGGAGCGCCCGCGACAAGAGGUGAGCGGUGAUCG